AUUGAACGCUGGCGGCAGGCCUAACACAUGCAAGUCGAGCGGAUGAAGGGAGCUUGCUCCUGGAUUCAGCGGCGGACGGGUGAGUAAUGCCUAGGAAUCUGCCUGGUAGUGGGGGAUAACGUCCGGAAACGGGCGCUAAUACCGCAUACGUCCUGAGGGAGAAAGUGGGGGAUCUUCGGACCUCACGCUAUCAGAUGAGCCUAGGUCGGAUUAGCUAGUUGGUGGGGUAAAGGCCUACCAAGGCGACGAUCCGUAACUGGUCUGAGAGGAUGAUCAGUCACACUGGAAAUGAGACACGGUCCAGACUCCUACGGGAGGCAGCAGUGGGGAAUAUUGGACAAUGGGCGAAAGCCUGAUCCAGCCAUGCCGCGUGUGUGAAGAAGGUCUUCGGAUUUUAAAGCACUUUAAGUUGGGAGGAAGGGCAGUAAGUUAAUACCUUGCUGUUUUGACGUUACCAACAGAAUAAGCACCGGCUAACUUCGUG
rnacentral:rRNA from 1 species